GGCCUAAUGGCGUAAUGGAUCGUACUCCGAUACGGUAGAAGCUGAGCACCGUUGUUUCGGAGGGUCUGGAGUUCAAGUCUCCGUUGGGCCG